AAAUUGAAGAGUUUGAUCAUGGCUCAGAUUGAACGCUGGCGGCAGGCCUAACACAUGCAAGUCGAACGGUAACAGGAAACAGCUUGCUGUUUCGCUGACGAGUGGCGGACGGGUGAGUAAUGUCUGGGAAACUGCCCGAUGGAGGGGGAUAACUACUGGAAACGGUAGCUAAUACCGCAUAACGUCGCAAGACCAAAGAGGGGGACCUUCGGGCCUCUUGCUAUCGGAUGUGCCCAGAUGGGAUUAGCUAGUAGGUGGGGUAACGGCUCACCUAGGCGACGAUCCCUAGCUGGUCUGAGAGGAUGACCAGCCACACUGGAACUGAGACACGGUCCAGACUCCUACGGGAGGCAGCAGUGGGGAAUAUUGCACAAUGGGCGCAAGCCUGAUGCAGCCAUGCCGCGUGUAUGAAGAAGGCCUUCGGGUUGUAAAGUACUUUCAGCGGGGAGGAAGGGAGUAAAGUUAAUACCUUUACUCAUUGACGUUACCCGCAGAAGAAGCACCGGCUAACUCCGUGCCAGCAGCCGCGGUAAUACGGAGGGUGCAAGCGUUAAUCGGAAUUACUGGGCGUAAAGCGCACGCAGGCGGUUUGUUAAGUCAGAUGUGAAAUCCCCGGGCUCAACCUGGGAACUGCAUCUGAUACUGGCAAGCUUGAGUCUCGUAGAGGGGGGUAGAAUUCCAGGUGUAGCGGUGAAAUGCGUAGAGAUCUGGAGGAAUACCGGUGGCGAAGGC
rnacentral:rRNA from 1 species